rnacentral:rRNA from 1 species
UGAGGAAUAUUGGUCAAUGGGCGAGAGCCUGAACCAGCCACGUCGCGUGAAGGAAGACUGACCUUACGGUUUGUAAACUUCUUUUGUAGAGGGGUAAUGGCAGAUACGUGUAUUUGCGUGAAAGUACUCUACGAAUAAGCAUCGGCUAACUCCGUGCCAGCAGCCGCGGUAAUACGGGGGAUGCGAGCGUUAUCCGGAAUUAUUGGGCGUAAAGCGCGCGCAGGUGGUUUAGAAAGUCUGAUGUGAAAGCCCACGGCUCAACCGUGGAGGGUCAUUGGAAACUAAUAAACUUGAGUGCAGGAGAGAAAAGUGGAAUUCCUAGUGUAGCGGUGAAAUGCGUAGAGAUUAGGAGGAACACCGGUGGCGAAAGCGGCUUUUUGGCCUGCAACUGACACUGAGGCGCGAAAGCGUGGGGAGCAAACAGG